CAGCAGACACAUUCCAGCCAAUCAGCAGCAGACCCUCCCUCUCAGACCCUCCCACCUCUUGGACAGCAUCCAUUUUACAUUCAUUGUGAAGCUGCAUUCUUAGUGAGCUGUCCAGGAGGUGGGAGGGUCUGGGAGGGAGGGUCUGCUGCUGAUUGGCUGGAAUGUGUCUGCU
rnacentral:miRNA from 1 species